CCUACGGGAGGCAGCAGUGGGGAAUAUUGCACAAUGGGGGAAACCCUGAUGCAGCGACGCCGCGUGAGUGAAGAAGUAAUUCGUUAUGUAAAGCUCUAUCAGCAGGAACGAGACAAGACGGUACCUGACUAAGAAGCCCCGGCUAACUACGUGCCAGCAGCCGCGGUAAUACGUAGGGGGCAAGCGUUAUCCGGAAUCACUGGGUGUAAAGGGAGCGUAGACGGCUGUGCAAGCCUGAAGUGAAAGGCGGGGGCCCAACCCCUGGACUGCUUUGGGAACUGUACGGCUGGAGUGCAGGAGAGGUAAGUGGAAUUCCUAGUGUAGCGGUGAAAUGCGUAGAUAUUAGGAGGAACACCAGUGGCGAAGGCGGCUUACUGGACUGUAACUGACGUUGAGGCUCGAAAGCGUGGGGAGCAAACAGGAUUAGAUACCCGGGUAGUC
rnacentral:rRNA from 1 species